GACGAACGCUGGCGGCGUGCCUAAUACAUGCAAGUCGAGCGGACUUAUUUGAGUAGCUUGCUAUUUGGAUAAGUUAGCGGCGGACGGGUGAGUAACACGUGGGUAAUCUGCCUCGUAGUCUGGGAUAACGGCUGGAAACGGCCGCUAAUACCCCGUACGAUUGUGAAGCUCUCGGGCUUUGCAAAGAAAGGGGCCUUUAAAGCCCCGCCGAAAGAUGAGCCCGCCCCCCAUUAGCUAGUUGGCGGGGUAAUGGCCCACCAAGGCUGUGAUGGGUAGCCGAGCUGAGAGGUUGAUCGGCCACACUGGAACUGAGACACGGUCCAGACACCUACGGGUGGCAGCAGUAGGGAAUAUUGCGCAAUGGGCGAAAGCCUGACGCAGCCAUGCCGCGUGGAUGAUGAAGGCCUUCGGGUCGUAAAGUCCUUUUCUGAGGGAAGAACUGCCGGGGGAGGAAAUGCCCUUGGCUUGACGGUACCUCAGGAAUAAGCAACGGCUAACUCCGUG
rnacentral:rRNA from 1 species